UACGUAGGCCGCAAGCGUUGUUCGGAGUUACUGGGCGUAAAGGGUGCGUAGGCGGUUGUUUAAGUUUGGUGUGAAAUCUCCCGGCUCAACUGGGAGGGUGCGCCGAAUACUGAAUGACUAGAGUGCGGGAGAGGAGAGUGGAAUUCCUGGUGUAGCGGUGAAAUGCGUAGAUAUCAGGAGGAACACCGGUGGUGUAGACGGCUCUCUGGACCGUAACUGACGCUGAGGCACGAAAGCGUGGGUAGCAAACAGG
rnacentral:rRNA from 1 species